CGGAUUAAGUCUGCUAUAUCCAGAAAAUACCCUUGACUCUUACUCCUGGGGGUCAAGGGGUCGCAGGUUCAAAUCCUGUCGUCCCGA
rnacentral:tRNA from 1 species